rnacentral:rRNA from 1 species
UACGAAGGGGGCUAGCGUUGCUCGGAAUCACUGGGCGUAAAGGGCGCGUAGGCGGCGGGGUAAGUCUGGUGUGAAAUCUCGGAGCUCAACUCCGAAAUUGCACUGGAUACUGCUCUGCUAGAGGGCUGGAGAGGAGAUCGGAAUUCACGGUGUAGCAGUGAAAUGCGUAGAGAUCAUGAGGAAGACCAGUGGCGAAGGCGGGUCUCUGGACAGUUCCUGACACUGAGACACGAAGGCCAGGGGAGCAAACGGG